CAGGGAAAAUACAUUGAAGCAAAUGAAUGCUGGAUCUCAACUUGCCAUGGAGAACAACAACUGUUCACACUUGAACUGCAAACAAUUAAAUUCUUCCCACAGGUCACUUAGACACAGCCAUCGGGACCAGUUUCCAUGGGUUAUAUGCACCUUUGAAGAGACAUUUAUAUACCAUAAAUUGCACAGUUUUCAAGUGCUGACAUCCCUCUGCAAUGAAACAUGUCAUCAAAUGCCCUCAGUCCUUUUUUCUGGAAAUAACAGGUCUCUUCCCCAGUUAUAAAGAUAUCAUGCCCCUGGAUGCCUAUCUAAGCCAAAUGGAUGCCGUGGCAGAAUCAAAGGAAGUUAUGUCAAUUUUCAUGUGAAAGAAAAUGGGUAAGAACCACAACAGAAUUGACAGAAGAGCAGAACUAUAGGUUUUGUUAUAGAAAGACAGAAAGGUUAACAAAGUAAAUGUGGGGUUUCAUUCAAACAGAAGUAAAUUAAUUACCAGGUCAAGCUCAUUUCCUUUGUGUCCCCUAAAUAAAAUUACAUCUAAG
rnacentral:lncRNA from 1 species